CAGCCGCCUCGGUAAUACCAACCCCGCGAGUGGUCGGGACGUUUAUUGGGCCUAAAGCGUCCGUAGCCGGCCCGGUAAGUCCCUCCUUAAAGCCCACGGCUCAACCGUGGGAGCGGAGGGAUACUGCCGGGCUAGGGGGCGGGAGAGGCCGGGGGUACUCCUGGGGUAGGGGCGAAAUCCUAUAAUCCCAGGAGGACCACCAGUGGCGAAGGCGCCCGGCUAGCACGCGCCCGACGGUGAGGGACGAAAGCUGGGGGAGCAAAGGGGAUUAGAUACCCCCGUAGUCCCAGCUGUAAACGAUGCAGGCUAGGUGUUAGGCGGGCUUCGUGCCCGCCUAGUGCCGUAGGGAAGCCGUUAAGCCUGCCGCCUGGGGAGUACGGCCGCAAGGCUGAAACUUAAAGGAAUUGGCGGG
rnacentral:rRNA from 1 species